rnacentral:rRNA from 1 species
GGAUGCUCCGACUCCUCGCAUGGGGUGUCGGGAAAGAUUUCAUCGGUAUGGGAUGGGGUCGCGUCCUAUCAGGUAGUCGGCGGGGUAACGGCCCACCGAGCCUACGACGGGUAGCCGGCCUGAGAGGGCGACCGGCCACAUUGGGACUGAGAUACGGCCCAGACUCCUACGGGAGGCAGCAGUGGGGAAUAUUGCACAAUGGGCGCAAGCCUGAUGCAGCGACGCCGCGUGCGGGAUGACGGCCUUCGGGUUGUAAACCGCUUUUGAUCGGGAGCAAGCCUUCGGGUGAGUGUACCUUUCGAAUAAGCACCGGCUAACUACGUGCCAGCAGCCGCGGUAAUACGUAGGGUGCAAGCGUUAUCCGGAAUUAUUGGGCGUAAAGGGCUCGUAGGCGGUUCGUCGCGUCCGGUGUGAAAGUCCAUCGCUUAACGGUGGAUCUGCGCCGGGUACGGGCGGGCUGGAGUGCGGUAGGGGAGACUGGAAUUCCCGGUGUAACGGUGGAAUGUGUAGAUAUC